GCCACUUUCUCAUGCUCUUCCUCCUGAUUAUGAGCAUAUACGGGUUUUCCGUCACUCCCACCGCAAAUUCAAAAAUAGAGGUUCCUAUAAUCGUUAGACUACUGCUAUCACCGACUCUACUGUGCUAUCACCUGAUUCUGCUUCUUCUUCCACCCUUACUACUGCUGAUAUCGAGACAAUAGUUACCCAGGUUUUAUCACGCAUUAAUAUUCAUUCAUCUGCUCUCUCAACCACAUCAGGUACUUUACCUUGGCUUUUUGAUACUGCCUGUUGCAAUCAUAUAACUUCUGAUACUUUUUUAUUCUCUAUCACACCUCCCACUUCCUUCGUGCAUCCUAUUCACACAACUAAUGGCUCUCUUAUGACUACUACUCAUACUGACAUUAUUGUCACUCCUGAUCUUACUAUUGACCAUACUUAUCUUGUUCCUGUUUUUUCCCAUAAUUUAUUAUCUGUUGGUCAACUUUGUGAACUUGGUUUAGACUUACAUUUUUCCAAUUCUGGUUGUCUUAUUUAGGAUCCACAGACAGAAAAAAUCAUUGGGACCAGCCGUAAAGUGGGUCGAUUGUUUGAGUUAGAGUCUCUUCAUGUUCCUUCUCAAUCUGUUGUUGCUGCCUCUAAUUCAAGUAGUCAUGUUUCCUUUAGCCUCUAGCAUUCUCACUUAAGUCAUGCCUCUUUAUCAAAAUUGCAAAAAUUAGUAUCUCGUGGUUAUUUAGGUUCUGUUAAAAUAGAAACAAAUUUUUAUUAUCUUGCUUGUUAAACUGGGAAAUAACAUGUGUUAUCUGUUCAUAAUAAUAAUUCUUUUGCUACUGCACCUUUGACCUUGUUCACUCUGAUGUGUAGGGUCCUCUCCCAUUUCCUCUACUAGUGUAGUUUUUGGAUAUCUUGUCAUUUUUGUCAUUGAUGAUAUUCUCUAUAUAUAUGGAUUUAUCCUUAUACACAUAAGAUCUGAGUUACUUUGGAUUUAUGAUGAAUUUCAAAAAGGGUUCAAACGCAAUUUUUUUCGAAAAUUAAAAAUUUUCGUUCUAAUAUUGCUCAGAAUCUAACCAAACUAUUUUCUCAACAUUCUUAAACAAAUGGCACAUUCCCACACUCAUCAUUUCCGGUACUUCUUUACCAAAAUGGACGUUCCAGCACAAUUUUGGCACAUCUUGGAUACUAUUCCUGCCUUUCUCAUUUUUACCUAUCACUGAAUCCUUUUGGGGAGAAGCUGCCCUUACUGCUGUCUACACAUCAUUAGUUACCGACAACAUAUCCUCUUAUGAACGUCUAUAUAAUACUCCUCCUAAUUAUAACAUUUUUCGUAUGUUUGGGAGUUCAUGUUUUGUUCUUCUUCAACCUCAUGGACGCAAUAAGUUAGAACCUCGUUUCGACUUUGCUGUUUUUUAGGGUAUGGAAUUGAACAUAAGGGAUAUCGUUGUUAUGAUCUUAUCUCUAAACGUCUUUACAUUUCUUGACAUGUUGAAUUUUGGGAAGAUAUUAAGUUUUCGAAUAUUUUCAAAACACCUAUACCAUCUAGACUUGGCCACCCUCUUUUUACUGUCCCUUCAUUAUAUAUUAUCUCACCUGUUACUUUUCCCUUUUCUACAGGUUCUCUACCAUCACCAAGUCUCACAACCCUCGCCAUGGACAUUCCCAAUGCUUCCCCACUAGAGGCUUCGCCAUCCAUUUCUUGUCCUCCUACUCGUUGUUCCACCAGAGUCAGAACUGCACCCUCUCAUUUUUGUUAUUAUCAUUGUUAUUUUUCUCUUUCUACUUUGCCAUGAGCAUCGGCAUUUUAUGAGGCAUCCUCUA
rnacentral:lncRNA from 1 species